UUAAGUUCAGCGGGUAGUCCUACCUGAUUUGAGAUCAGAUCAUAAAUAAAUUGUCCAAGUCAAUGGACGAUUAGAAGCGGUUCGUCUGCAACCCCGGCCACCUUUUACAGUGUCCUCAGCGAGUGAUACUUAUCACGCCGAGUGGAACCGAGUUCACUGAGAUCCAGCUAAUACAUUUAAGAGGAGCAGACGUGAAUCUG
rnacentral:misc_RNA from 1 species